GCGGCUUCGCCUUCAUCCCUUCGAGGUAGAUUGUGAGGAGCCCACUUUUCUGGCUGAAAUACAGCGCUCGCAUUCGACUCUGUGUUGGUGGUGGUGGGAGGGGCGCGCUAUUCUUGACCCUCUGCAUCUCCCUCCCCUUCCCAUCGUCCACGCAAGCCUUCACCCCCCCCGCCUCUGCCGCGCAGGCGGUACCGCAUUGAACGAAGCACAUGGCCAUGCAGUCCCUCGGCCGCCUGCCAGUGUCACGGGCGACGAUGACCGUCAGGUCGCUUCGACUCUCUGCCGCGCAUCGCUGCCAUGCAGCCGCGUCCUGUUCCGUGCUGCGGAGCAGUGUACACAGUCGCGGUUGUGGCACCCUCAUAUGCGCACGGCGUGCCUUCCUCAUCGCCACGCGGGUGCGCCGACGGCGUGACAGCGGCAACAAUAGCGUGAACACGGACGUCUCCACGGAAGCGGCGUCGAGCGCGGCUGCGGACCUCUGUGAACCUCUCCGGCUCAACGAGGGCAUGGACAGCAACCGUCGCUUACUCGCAGCAGUCCACCUAUCUGCCGCGCCACCAGCCCCACCACCACCACCGCCCACGUCUUCGGCGUCGCCUGCCGAGAUCACUGCGGAGGAAUGGGCUGCGCUCCAGCAGUACAUGCGCCAAGUCGAGACCGAUUCCGAAUUCCUUGCCGCCGCUCAAGGGCUCACACCACCGCUCUCGGACUCACCGGUUGGCGAGGUCAACCAGUCAGCAGCGACAGCAGAAGACGGCUCGCACGGCGGCUGCAUGCUCGCAAGCAAGCCUCCAUGGGGCUCGCCGGCGCCACCGCUUGCGUUGCCUGAAGAUGCCGCUGAGCUUGCAACUGAUCUGGCGCAAGAGGUGGGUGCGCUCUACACUGACGCUGGUGUCACAUCGGCACGUUGUUGGGAGCAGGCGGAGCAGGAGAUGGAAGCAGACAGUGGUCGCCGAGACGACGGCGUCGAAUUCGGAGACGAUGCCGAGCGUGAUGAGCAGGUGCUCGCUUCCCUGAAGGGCCGCCACGUACGACUGCAAAACACGCCGGACGUGGUGAUGGCACCGCUCAUCAUCCCCGAUAGGAACGGCCGCGUGGCGGCGGACGCGCAGCCGCUGCUGCACUGUCGCGGGGGAGAGAGCGAAGCGUCUGCCUUGGAGGUCGCGCCGCGGAUAACAGCGCGCCUCCUUCACCGGCAUAGCCAUCUGGCAGAGCAGGAUCGGCUGUACCUUGGUCCCUGCACAGCGCCAGAAGCGCAGCUGCGGCCGCCGGAUGUCAUGCGGGCAGCACCACCAUCUGCGGGCACACAGCGCCACGGCUGCUGCGUCCUUGUAGUCUUCUCCUCCACCGACCUGCGUGUUCACGACAACCAGCUCUUGGCGUUCGCCUCGGUGUGCGCCAGGGCGGCGGCCGCAGAGGCGGGCAGCCCAGUUCCCGUCAUCGGUGUUUGUGUGCUCGACUACCGAACCUUUGCACAGCCGAGCACUGUCGGCGGCUUCUUCCGUCAGAGUCCUCAGCGGGCGCAGUUCCUGCUUGAUACGGUGGCGGCGCUGCGCCGCAAGCUGGAGGACACACUGCAUGUGCCCCUCCUGGUUCGCUGUGGUCGGCCAGAGGAGCACGUGCCCCGCCUGGCCGUGGAGCUGGGGGCGAUGGAUGUUCUCAUGACGACUCAGUACGCCCCCCACGAGCGACGCGUGCAAGCGUUGAUGGUGCGCCGACUGCGGGCAGGGACGUGGGUGUCGCGCGAGGAGGUGUCUGACGAGGCUGUGGUGGCGGGUGCAGUUGGGCAAGGAGCGUCAGCGACGCCAGUUGGCGCACAGUGUGGCUCCGCAGCGGAGGAAGACGAUCCGCUGAUCGCCGUCGUCGAGCACGCGAGCUGCGGCGUCGGUGGUCAGCAUCCAUACCACUGCGGCAGCAGCUUGCCCUUGCACUGCCGCGCCGCGGCUGCACCGCCGAUGGUGCACAGUGUCUGGCAGUCGACGCUGGUGCACCUCGACGACUUGCCGACACCGCUGACCGUCAUGAAGGAAGGCGAGCGGUGGUACCACGACGACGUCACGGUGAGCACGAUCCGGCCGACCGAGCCGUACGACAAGGCGACCGCGCUGCUGGCGGAGCUGCCUCUAACCUGGCAAGCGGCCGCCCUGCUUCCCACGGAAGACGAGCGGUACGGGCGAGCGGGGCCGUCCGUCCUGCGGGGGGCGCUACCCCGGCUCGAAGACCUGGGCUACAGCGCCGCAGCCGCCCGCGGGACAGACUUCGCCUUCCAGGAAGUGAUCGCCACCCAGUCGUCUCACCCGGACGCCGGCGAGGACGCGGCGUUGGCGCGUCUGCAGAACUGGCUAGCGCAGGGCGGCGUGACGUCGCUGCUGCGCUACGGACGAGAGAGGCGCACUAACACGAAGAUGUACUCGCAGAAGCUGGCACGCGUGUCACCGUACAUCGCGCUCGGUGCCCUGUCCCCGCGCAAGUACUAUGAGGUACUGCGGGAGUUCGCGCAGGAGAACCAGCGCGACGCGUUUGUUCAGCAGCAGUUCCGGGAGGGUUUGCUGCGGCUGUCUCGGCGGGACUACUGGCAUUGGAUGGGCCUGCGCUUCGGCGACCGGCUCUUCUUCUCGUACGGGCCACACCCCGAGCACACGGACGACGUACCGGAAUGGCGUCAUGACCGUAAGGUGGUGCAACGGUGGUGCGAUGGGCUGACAGGCAUCCCCUUCGCAGAUGCCGCGAUGCGGGAGCUGGUAGGGACGGGCUUCGUCGCGCAGGAGGGGCGGCAGGCUCUGGCGUGGCUGCUCACGCGUGGCUACGGACAAGACUGGCGCGUCGGCGCUGAGUGGAUGGAGCGCUGCUCUCUUGACUACGACCCGUUCGUCUGCUACGGGAACUACGCAUAUAGCUGCGGGCUUAUGCUGGACGACUUCGGCGAACCUGUCCGCAACGUAUACUACCUCGCCCACCAGCACGAUCAGACCGGCAUCUACGUCAAGAAAUGGCUGCCGCAGCUGUCGAAGGUGCCGCCGGUGUACAUACAUCGCCCACAUGUGCUGACGGAGCGCAUGCAGGCGAUGCAUGGCGUGUACCUAGGCAAAAACUACCCCUACCCACUUAAACUGUGGCAAGGGGCGCAGCGCAGUCUGUCCGCCGCCGAGCUCACGGCGUACUACCCGCAGGGCAUAGUGAAAGGCCCUGGGUAUGCGGAAGCGCUGCGGUACGGCAGCGCCGUGAUGCAGCCCGAGGAGUACAACGCCGCUGUGUCGCCCGCCUACCUGCAGCGGCAGGAAUGGGCGACAAUGCUGCCAGCCUCCGCCUUCGCCGGCAUCGAGGACAGCGACGAGAUGGCGAAGCACUUCUCCCUCUUGGAGGCGGCAGCUCCACGGAAGUCUGCCCCACCCGCCGCCGUUGUGGCGGGUGGGUCUACUUUGAAGAGGGUCGUCGCGUAGAGGUGUGUGACCUGCCGCGGCUCUCCGCCUGUGCCACCACUACCCUCCCCCGGUGUGUCGAUGCGCGUGUCUGGGUGUGUCUCUGUCUUGUUCGGUAGCCGUCUUUUCUCUUGCCAUAAUCAGCCUCCCAACCAUCACCACCACCACCCAGCGCCCAGCAACUCGUUCCUUCUCUUCACGGCUCUACCGCGCAUGCGCAUGCACACGUGCACACGCACACACAGAGCAAGAGGGAGGGAGUUGUCUGGUUGUGUGUGUGUGUGUGUGUGUGUGGAGGGGGGCGAGGGGGCAAGUCCGUUUCGAAGCUAAGCGCCAGCCG
rnacentral:misc_RNA from 1 species